rnacentral:sRNA from 1 species
CUGGCCCCUGGCACGCAGGCGGCAGCCAGGUGGGGUUACAGCCAGAGCACGCACGCAUGCACGGAGCCGGGAGCAUGCAGCCUGCACUGCGGGGGAUGUGAUGCUCUGCUCUCCAACUCGCCUGGCUGGCCCGCCACAGACGCCUCAGCUUGCAACCAUGGUAACGCUUCUGGCUGGGGACACCCCUGGGAGCCCACCGCGAUGGGCAGCCUCCUGGUGACUGAUGGACGAGUGUCCACCUCCCUGACCGAGAGCGCUUAGUAGGUCGGCAGGAAGUGGAGAGGAUGUAACACGCCCCCAGCCGGGAGUGAAGCCCUAAGGAGGUAGGAGCCGCAUAUGUCCAUCCAUGCAUUCCCACCGUCAGCGCGCAGGGGUGCUGUAGAUCACCGCUCCUCCCCCCUUCGUUCCCACCCUCAAGUCUGACGAUGACACCUCCAAUUUUGAUGAACCAGAGAAGAAUUCGUGGGUUUCAUCCUCUCCGUGCCAGCUGAGCCCCUCAGGUUUCUCGGGUGAAGAACUGCCGUUUGUGGGGUUUUCGUACAGCAAGGCACUGGGGAUUCUUGGUAGAUCUGAGUCUGUUGUGUCGGGUCUGGACUCCCCUGCCAAGACUAGCUCCAUGGAAAAGAAACUUCUCAUCAAAAGCAAAGAGCUACAAGACUCUCAGGACAAGUGUCACAAGGUAUUUAUUUCCGCAGCCGGCCUCCUUCCUUGCUCCAGGAUCCUCCCGUCCGUAUAUGCCAAGGGAUCUGCCCAGGGCCACUGCUGGCUCUGAGCCGCCUGAUCCGUAGAGAGCGAGGCGCUCCUGCCCUCGCUGAAGUCGCGCCUCCAGCAGCUCAGAGGGAGAUGAAUUCGGGCCUUGCCGUUGCUGUAAAUCCUUUAAAUCUAAAUCAGAGGAGGCCCUGGAUUUAAACAGUCCGUUUCUCAGCAUGACCCAGCCAGAUGUCUGCUUCUUCCGGCAGGUGGCCUGGGUCCUCACCUGUGGCUGAGAUACAUCCCAUCUGCUUUGAGUGAUGCGAAGUCUCUCUUCGUAGUCUUUUAAAACUCCUGCUUAUGUCACUGCGGCCACUGUGUUGAUUACGCUCAACGUCUCUUAACAUUCACUGUUCCUGCCCAGAGGCAACGCUCUGGAAACUAAUAAGUCACUGCUUGCCUGGGACUCCUAAGAGUGCAGACGAAUAAAUAUCUCCUUGCCCUGUCCUGGAUUUGUCCUCUAGAUCUUUGCAAGGAGAUGGGGGGGGAUCAAGAUGGAUUUGGGAUAAAAUUAAAGUGACGUCUGCAAAAACAAAACAAAAAAGCAAACAGGUGAAAAAUGAUGAUUGUGGCUUCCUUGCUAACUGGGUUAGAGAAGUGAUCAAGUGUGAACCGGGACUUGAAUGAGAGGAGUGACUUAGCAUUUGGUGACUGUCCUUAACGAAGAACUGUGCGCUCCUGGGCGAAGAAACAAUGAUGGAGCAGGAAAUGACCCGGUUACAUCGGAGAGUGUCAGAGGUGGAGGCUGUGCUUAGUCAGAAGGAGGUGGAGCUGAAGGCCUCUGAGACUCAGAGAUCCCUCCUGGAGCAGGACCUUGCUACCUACAUCACAGAAUGCAGUAGCUUAAAGCGAAGUUUGGAGCAAGCACGGAUGGAGGUGUCCCAGGAGGAUGACAAAGCACUGCAGCUUCUCCAUGAUAUCAGAGAGCAGAGCCGGAAGCUCCAAGAAAUCAAAGAGCAGGAGUACCAGGCUCAAGUGGAAGAAAUGAGGUUGAUGAUGAAUCAGUUGGAAGAGGACCUUGUCUCAGCAAGAAGACGGAGUGAUCUCUAUGAAUCUGAGCUGAGAGAGUCUCGGCUUGCUGCUGAAGAAUUCAAGCGGAAAGCGACAGAAUGUCAGCAUAAACUGUUGAAGGCUAAGGAUCAAGGGAAGCCUGAAGUGGGAGAAUAUGUGAAACUGGAGAAGAUCAAUGCUGAGCAGCAGCUCAAAAUUCAGGAGCUCCAAGAGAAACUGGAGAAGGCUGUAAAAGCCAGCACGGAGGCCACUGAGCUGCUGCAGAAUAUCCGCCAGGCAAAGGAGCGAGCCGAGAGGGAGCUGGAGAAGCUGCAGAACCGAGAGGAUUCUUCUGAAGGCAUCAGAAAGAAGCUGGUGGAAGCUGAGGAGCUCGAAGAGAAACAUCGGGAGGCCCAAGUCUCAGCCCAGCACCUAGAAGUGCACCUGAAACAGAAAGAGCAGCACUAUGAGGAAAAGAUUAAAGUGUUGGACAAUCAGAUAAAGAAAGACCUGGCCGACAAGGAGACGCUUGAGAACAUGAUGCAGAGACACGAAGAGGAGGCCCAUGAGAAGGGCAAAAUUCUCAGCGAACAGAAGGCGAUGAUCAAUGCUAUGGAUUCCAAGAUCAGAUCCCUGGAACAGAGGAUUGUGGAACUGUCUGAAGCCAAUAAACUUGCAGCAAAUAGCAGUCUUUUUACCCAAAGGAACAUGAAGGCCCAAGAAGAGAUGAUUUCUGAACUCAGGCAACAGAAAUUUUACCUGGAGACACAGGCUGGGAAGUUGGAGGCCCAGAACCGAAAGCUGGAGGAGCAGCUGGAGAAGAUCAGCCACCAAGACCACAGUGACAAGAAUCGGCUGCUGGAACUGGAAACAAGAUUGCGGGAGGUCAGUCUAGAGCACGAGGAGCAGAAACUGGAGCUCAAGCGCCAGCUCACAGAGCUACAGCUCUCCCUGCAGGAGCGCGAGUCACAGUUGACAGCCCUGCAGGCUGCACGGGCGGCCCUGGAGAGCCAGCUUCGCCAGGCGAAGACAGAGCUGGAAGAGACCACAGCAGAAGCCGAAGAGGAGAUCCAGGCGCUCACGGCACAUAGAGAUGAAAUCCAGCGCAAAUUUGAUGCUCUUCGUAACAGCUGUACUGUAAUCACAGACCUGGAGGAGCAGCUAAACCAGCUGACCGAGGACAACGCUGAACUCAACAACCAAAACUUCUACUUGUCCAAACAACUCGAUGAGGCUUCUGGCGCCAACGAUGAGAUUGUACAACUGCGAAGUGAAGUGGACCAUCUCCGCCGGGAGAUCACAGAACGAGAGAUGCAGCUUACCAGCCAGAAGCAAACGAUGGAGGCUCUGAAGACCACGUGCACCAUGCUGGAGGAACAGGUCAUGGAUUUGGAGGCCCUAAACGAUGAGCUGCUAGAAAAAGAGCGGCAGUGGGAGGCCUGGAGGAGUGUCCUGGGUGAUGAGAAAUCCCAGUUUGAGUGUCGGGUUCGAGAGCUGCAGAGGAUGCUGGACACCGAGAAACAGAGCAGGGCGAGAGCCGAUCAGCGGAUCACCGAGUCUCGCCAGGUGGUGGAGCUGGCAGUGAAGGAGCACAAGGCCGAGAUUCUCGCUCUGCAGCAGGCUCUCAAAGAGCAGAAGCUGAAGGCCGAGAGCCUCUCUGACAAGCUCAAUGACCUGGAGAAGAAGCACGCUAUGCUUGAAAUGAAUGCCCGAAGCUUACAGCAGAAGCUGGAGACUGAACGAGAGCUCAAACAGAGGCUUCUGGAAGAGCAAGCCAAAUUACAGCAGCAGAUGGACCUGCAGAAAAAUCACAUUUUCCGUCUGACUCAAGGACUGCAAGAAGCUCUAGAUCGGGCUGAUCUACUGAAGACAGAAAGAAGUGACCUGGAAUAUCAGCUGGAAAACAUUCAGGUUCUCUAUUCUCAUGAAAAGGUGAAAAUGGAAGGCACUAUUUCUCAACAAACCAAACUCAUUGAUUUUCUGCAAGCCAAAAUGGACCAACCUGCUAAAAAGAAAAAGGUUCCUCUGCAGUACAAUGAGCUGAAGCUGGCCCUGGAGAAGGAGAAAGCUCGCUGUGCAGAGCUAGAGGAAGCCCUUCAGAAGACCCGCAUCGAGCUCCGGUCCGCCCGGGAGGAAGCUGCCCACCGCAAAGCGACGGACCACCCACACCCAUCCACGCCAGCCACCGCGAGGCAGCAGAUCGCCAUGUCCGCCAUUGUGCGGUCGCCAGAGCACCAGCCCAGUGCCAUGAGCCUGCUGGCCCCGCCAUCCAGCCGCAGAAAGGAGUCUUCAACUCCAGAGGAAUUUAGUCGGCGUCUUAAGGAACGCAUGCAUCACAAUAUUCCUCACCGAUUCAACGUAGGACUGAACAUGCGAGCCACAAAGUGUGCUGUGUGUCUGGAUACCGUGCACUUUGGACGCCAGGCAUCCAAAUGUCUCGAAUGUCAGGUGAUGUGUCACCCCAAGUGCUCCACGUGCUUGCCAGCCACCUGCGGCUUGCCUGCUGAAUACGCCACACACUUCACCGAGGCCUUCUGCCGCGACAAAAUGAACUCCCCAGGUCUCCAGACCAAGGAGCCCAGCAGCAGCUUGCACCUGGAAGGGUGGAUGAAGGUGCCCAGGAAUAACAAACGAGGACAGCAAGGCUGGGACAGGAAGUACAUUGUCCUGGAGGGAUCAAAAGUCCUCAUUUACGACAAUGAAGCCAGAGAAGCUGGACAGAGGCCGGUGGAAGAAUUUGAGCUGUGCCUUCCCGACGGGGAUGUAUCUAUUCAUGGUGCCGUUGGUGCUUCCGAACUCGCAAAUACAGCCAAAGCAGAUGUCCCAUACAUACUGAAGAUGGAAUCUCACCCGCACACCACCUGCUGGCCCGGGAGAACCCUCUACUUGCUAGCUCCCAGCUUCCCUGACAAACAGCGCUGGGUCACCGCCUUAGAAUCAGUUGUCGCAGGUGGGAGAGUUUCUAGGGAAAAAGCAGAAGCCGAUGCUAAACUGCUUGGAAACUCCCUGCUGAAACUGGAAGGUGAUGACCGUCUAGACAUGAACUGCACAUUGCCCUUCAGUGACCAGGUGGUGUUGGUGGGCACCGAGGAAGGUCUCUACGCCCUGAAUGUCUUGAAAAACUCCCUAACCCAUGUCCCAGGAAUUGGAGCAGUCUUCCAAAUUUAUAUUAUCAAGGACCUGGAGAAGCUACUCAUGAUAGCAGGAGAAGAGCGGGCACUGUGUCUUGUGGACGUGAAGAAAGUGAAACAGUCCCUGGCGCAGUCCCACCUGCCCGCCCAGCCCGACAUCUCACCCAACAUUUUUGAAGCUGUCAAGGGCUGCCACUUGUUUGGGGCAGGCAAGAUUGAGAACGGGCUCUGCAUCUGUGCAGCCAUGCCCAGCAAAGUCGUCAUUCUCCGCUACAACGAAAACCUCAGCAAAUACUGCAUCCGGAAAGAGAUAGAGACCUCAGAGCCCUGCAGCUGUAUCCACUUCACCAAUUACAGUAUCCUCAUUGGAACCAAUAAAUUCUACGAAAUCGACAUGAAGCAGUACACGCUCGAGGAAUUCCUGGAUAAGAAUGACCAUUCCUUGGCACCUGCUGUGUUUGCCGCCUCUUCCAACAGCUUCCCUGUCUCGAUCGUGCAGGUGAACAGCGCAGGGCAGCGAGAGGAGUACUUGCUGUGUUUCCACGAAUUUGGAGUGUUCGUGGAUUCUUACGGAAGACGCAGCCGCACAGACGAUCUCAAGUGGAGUCGCUUACCUUUGGCCUUUGCCUACAGAGAACCCUAUCUGUUUGUGACCCACUUCAACUCACUCGAAGUAAUUGAGAUCCAGGCACGCUCCUCGGCAGGGACCCCUGCCCGAGCGUACCUGGACAUCCCGAACCCGCGCUACCUGGGCCCUGCCAUUUCCUCAGGAGCGAUUUACUUGGCGUCCUCAUACCAGGAUAAAUUAAGGGUCAUUUGCUGCAAGGGAAACCUCGUGAAGGAGUCCGGCACUGAACACCACCGAGGCCCGUCCACCUCCCGCAGCAGCCCCAACAAGCGAGGUCCGCCCACGUACAAUGAGCACAUCACCAAGCGCGUGGCCUCCAGCCCAGCGCCGCCCGAAGGCCCCAGCCACCCGCGAGAGCCAAGCACACCCCACCGCUACCGCGAGGGGCGGACCGAGCUGCGCAGGGACAAGUCUCCUGGCCGCCCCCUGGAGCGAGAGAAGUCCCCGGGCCGGAUGCUCAGCACGCGGAGAGAGCGGUCCCCCGGAAGGCUGUUUGAAGACAGCAGCAGGGGCCGGCUGCCUGCGGGAGCCGUGAGGACCCCGCUGUCCCAGGUGAACAAGGUCUGGGACCAGUCUUCAGUAUAAAUCUCAGCCAGAAAAACCAACUCCUCAUCUUGAUCUGCAGGAAAACACCAAACACACUAUGGAACUCUGCUGAUGGGGACCCAAGCGCCCACGUGCUCAGCCACCCUCUGGCUCAGCGGGGCCCAGACCCACCUCGGCACGGACACCCCUGUCUCCAGGAGGGGCAGGUGGCUGAGGCUCUUCGGAGCUGUCAGCGCCCGGUGCCUGCCCUGGGCACCUCCCUGCAGUCAUCUCUUUGCACUUUGUUACUCUUUCAAAGCAUUCACAAACUUUUGUACCUAGCUCUAGCCUGUACCAGUUAGUUCAUCAAAGGAAACCAACCGGGAUGCUAACUACAACAUGGUUAGAAUCCUAAUUAGCUACUUUAAGAUCCUAGGAUUGGUUGGUUUUUCUUUUUCUUCUUUGUUUCUUUCUUUCUUUUUUUUUAAGACAACAGAAUUCUUAAUAGAUUUGAAUAGCAACGUAUUUCCUGUUGUAGUCAUUUUUAGCUAGAUCACAUCAUCAGGUCUUUGCUACCGAGGCGUAGUGUAGAAGAGUCCCGGUCAGUUGGCCAACCUCCCGCAGCCAAGUAGGUUCAUCCUUGUUCCUGUUCAUUCUCAUAGAUGGCCCUGCUUUCCCCAGGGUGACAUCGUAGCCAAAUGUUUACUGUUUUCAUUGCCUUUUAUGGCCUUGACGACUUCCCCUCCCACCAGCUGAGAAUGUAUGGAGGUCAUCGGGGCCUCAGCUCGGAGGCAGUGACUUGGGGCCAAGGGACCUCGAGAUGCUUUCCUUCCCCAUCCCCCAGCGUCAUCUCCCCAGCCUGCUGUUCCCGCUUUCCAUAUAGCUUUGGCCAGGAAAGCAUGCAAUAGACUUGCUCGGAGCCCAGCACUCCUGGGUCUCGGGGUCGGGGAGGGGACGGGGGCACCCACCUCCUUGUCUGUGACGGCGUGUUGUUCCCCACUCUGGGAUGGGGAAGAGGCCCGUCGGGAGUUCUGCAUGGCGGUUCACUGCAUGUGCUGCCCCCUUGGGUUGCUCUGCCAAUGUAUUAAUACCAUCCCAUAGCUCCUGCCGAAUCGAGACCCUCUGACGACUUGCCGACUAACUGGCCACCACAAGCUGCAGUCUGUAGCACUGAACAAACAAAAAACAAAACGCUCAAGCCUUACGACCAGAGAAGGAUUUCAGCAAACCACCACCUCCCACUCAGUGUCCCCUCCAAACUUCACACUUCCCUGCCUGCAGAGGAUGACUCUGUUCACACCCAAUCCGGCGCGGCUCUACCCCACGAAACUGUGACUUUCCAAAUGAGCCUUUCCCUAGGGCUAGACCUAAGACCAGGAAGUUUGAGAAAGCAGCCGCAGCUCAACUCUUCCAGCUCCGCCAGGGUUGGGAAGUCCUUAGGUGCAGUGCGGCUCCCACUGGGUCUGCGGACCCUCCUAUUAGAGUAUGAAAUUCCUGGCAACUGGUAUAGAACCAACCUAGAGGCUUUGCAGUUGGCAAGCUAACUCGCGGCCUUAUUUCUGCCUUUAAUCUCCCACAAGGCAUCUGUUGCUUUGGGUCCUCCACGACUCUUAGGCCCGCCUCAACAACCCAGGCACCUCCUAGGUAGGCUCAAAGGUAGACCCGUUUCCACCGCAGCAGGUGAACAUGACCGUGUUUUCAACUGUGUCCACAGUUCAGAUCCCUUUCCAGAUUGCAACCUGGCCUGCAUCCCAGCUCCUUCCUGCUCGUGUCUUAACCUAAGUGCUUUCUUGUUUGAAACGCCUACAAACCUCCAUGUGGUAGCUCCUUUGGCACAUGUCCUGCUGUGGCGUUUUAUGUGUUGCUUGGAGUCUGUGGGGUCGUACUCCCUCCCCUCCCGUCCCCAGGGCAGAUUUGAUUGAAUGUUUGCUGAAGUUUUUGUCUCUUGGUCCACAGUAUUUGAAAAGGUCACUGAAAAUUGGUCUUUCAGUCUUGGCAUUUCAUUUAGGAUCUCCAUGAGAAAUGGGCUUGUUGAGCCCUGAAAAUGUAUAUUGUGUGUCUCAUCUGUGAACUGCUUUCUGCUAUAUAGAACUAGCUCAAAAGACUGUACAUAUUUACAAGAAACUUUAUAUUCGUAAAAAAAAAAAAGAGGAAAUUGAAUUGGUUUCUACUUUUUUAUUGUAAAAGGUGCAUUUUUCAACACUUACUUUUGGUUUCAAUGGUGGUAGUUGUGGACAGCCAUCUUCACUGGAGGGUGGGGAGCCCCGUGUGACCACCAAGAUGCCAGCAGGAAAUACCGUAACACGAAAUUGCUGUCAAAAGCUUAUUAGCAUCAAUCAAGAUUCUAGGUCUCCAAAAGUACAGGCUUUUUCUUCAUUACCUUUUUUAUUCAGAACGAGGAAGAGAACACAAGGAAUGAUUCAAGAUCCACCUUGAGAGGAAUGAACUUUGUUGUUGAACAAUUAGUGAAAUAAAGCAAUGAUCUAAAC